UACGUAGGGGGGCAAGCGUUGUCCGGAAUUAUUGGGCGUAAAGAGCUCGUAGGCGGUCUGUCGCGUCGGUCGUGAAAACUUGGGGCUUAACCCUGAGCUUGCGGUCGAUACGGGCAUGACUGGAGUUCGGUAGGGGAGACUGGAAUUCCUGGUGUAGCGGUGAAAUGCGCAGAUAUCAGGAGGAACACCGGUGGCGAAGGCGGGUCUCUGGGCCGAUACUGACGCUGAGGAGCGAAAGCGUGGGGAGCGAACAGG
rnacentral:rRNA from 1 species